rnacentral:lncRNA from 1 species
GCUGGGCUGUGAGCUGGCAAGCUCAUGCCCUUUUUUUGGAGGCUUGAGCCAACUGCUUUUGAUCUGGGAGCUUACAGAAUGGGAGUAGGCUGAAUCAAGCCUCUGUCAAGAACCACUGCUGAAUUACUGAAUUAACAUACCCAAGACCAGCACAUCAGGAGGAUAGCCUUCUACCAAGAAUAGUGUGAAGAUAUAUCUUGUUCACAGAAGGUCUGGAAACAUCGUGAGACUUGGACAGACACAGUGCAUUCUUAGAAGGCAGAGAUGUUGCUGCUCUCUGAGCAUUGCACACUCUGUGUUCAUGACUGGUGGAAAUAGUGCCCAGUUUUGGGGGAGCUUGGUGGUAUGGGAGACAGUCGCAGCAGCUCUAAUAGGGGGGCUUAUCACUUUCUUGUUGAGCCAGGUUUGAUCAUCUCCUUUGCACAAGCCCUGCACGUUCACCUAGAUUCCUCCCCAGGCAGCUACAGUUGAUCUGCUCACCAAGGGAAUUUGUCCCACUGGAUUCCUUUUUUUUUUUCUGUGCAGCUGAAUGAAAAGUGUGAGUCUUUUGAAGAGCAGCAACUGAAAGAAAUAUUGAUGACUGCCAGGGCAUCUACAGAAAAAGAUAAGAAAAUUACUCUACUACAACAAUGAAAACAAAGGGGCUUUGUUUACACUUUCUUGUAGGUUGUAUAUAUUAAUAGUAACAAGUAAAGUUUUGUAUUUUUCAGUGAAAUACACAAGGCCUUGAAUUGUAUUGUUUUAAUUGCAACUAACUGAAUGAAUUAAGUGGAAAAUCGUACACAGUACUUUGAUUGUCUAAUUCUCUGUAUGUGAGGCUUUGGGAACAGUUUGUUAUUAUAAAAGAACAGCUCUAACCAGAAAUCAGCCAACAUGUAAUUGCUAGGCUGAGGGGCAGUUUGGGGAAAGCUGAUACUUAUUUAUACAUUAUUAAAUAAAAUCACAUAAUAUGAGGAU